CCUACGGGAGGCUGCAGUGAGGAAUAUUGGUCAAUGGACGAGAGUCUGAACCAGCCAAGUAGCGUGAAGGAUGACUGCCCUAUGGGUUGUAAACUUCUUUUAUAAAGGAAUAAAACGAGGCACGUGUGCCUUUUUGCAUGUACUUUAUGAAUAAGGAUCGGCUAACUCCGUGCCAGCAGCCGAGGUAAUACGGAGGAUCCGAGCGUUCUCCGGAUUUAUUGGGUUUAAAGGGAGCGUAGAUGGGUUGUUAAGUCAGUUGUGAAAGGUUGCGGCUCAACCGUAAAAUUGCAAUUGAUACUGGCAGUCUUGAGGACAGUUGAGGUAGGCGGAAUUCGUGGUGUAGCGGUGAAAUGCUUAGAUAUCACGAAGAACCCCGAUUGCGAAGGCAGCUUACUAAACUGUGACUGACAUUGAUGCUCGAAAGUGUGGGUAUCAAACAGGAUUAGAUACCCUUGUAGUC
rnacentral:rRNA from 1 species